AUUUUCUUUGAAAAUGGAAGCUAUAAAGUAAAACUUUUUUCAUUCUUCAUCGUUUUUUUUUCGCUUGAAUUGUGAUUUUUUUAUUUGCUUCAUUCUUGUUCUGCUGUUUUUUUUUCUUUUUUGGCUUAUGCCGCAUCCUCUUUGCCCUUCAUUCAUCCUCUUUCAGAGAUUUUUUGUUUGCGGCUUUCAUUGAAAUUCAACCCCAAAAAAAGCGACCAACAAAAAAAAAUAACAAUUCAAUAAAAAAAUGCCUACCACCCCGCCGAGCUCCAAUCUAAUGAAAAUAAAACAGAUUUUGGUUCUUUAUUGUGUUUGCACGGUGCAUGUGUGAGCAAGAGGUAAUGAGUGUGCAAAAGAGAUGCAGAAAGUUGUUUGGUUAGUAAAUGGGAGAAAACAAAAAUUACAAAAAGAAUGAACCAAAAAACAACACGAGCGAAAAAGUGAUUAUAACGUAAGACAAAAAAAAAAACAAAAAAAAUAUAUGGAAAAGAAAAUAAAUAACAAAUAACAUAAGAAUAAGUGUGCAAUAGGAGGUGAGAAAAAACACAAAACAGAAAAACUGAAGGAAUUGUUGGAUAAAAAUAAACUAUGAAAGAAUACAGGUGAAAUACUAUAAAUAAAAGAAAAUAAAAAUAGCACAGUUGCAAUUUUUAGGAGGAUUAUGCCAUAAAAUGAUGUAAAGUACUAAAUAACGUUGAGUUGCAAAAAAGGUACUUUUUCUGCAUGCACGUGUUAAAACUACAUAAAAAAUGUAAACAAAAGAAAACAAACCAUAACAAAAGGCAAUGCUGUAUUUAUAAAAUUUUUUAAAUGUUGGAAUAAAUUGAAAACAAUAAAUUGUGCAACAAAAUGAACGAUAGUGAUCGAUAGGGAAUCGAUUAAGGAAUCGAUCUCUGUAUUGAUUUUUUUGCAGGGUGCUUUCUAUCGGAUGAUGUGAAGUAACAAACUUUGACAAACUCACAAAUCUAACGAAAAAGAGAAAUAAGUUUUUAUACAAAAAAAUUUUAAAAUAUUCCGUGUGCACCAAAACAGCUAAUAGUGAUCGAUAGAGAAUCGUUUAACGAAUCGAUCCCUAUAUUAAUUUUUUUCCGGAGUACUUUCUAUUGGACGUUGUGACGCAACAAACUUCGUUAACUUCACAAAAUCUGACAAAAGAAGAGAAAAAGUUUUUAUACAAAAAAAUUUUUAAAUAUUCCGUGUGCACCAAAACAGCUAAUAGUGAUCGAUAGAGAAUCGAUUAACGAAUCGAUCCCUAUAUUCAUUUUUUUCCGGAGUACUUUCUAUUGGAUGCUGUGAUGCAACAAACUUCGGUAACUUCACAAAAUCUGACAAAAAAGAGAAAAAAGUUUUUAUACAAAAAUUUUUUUAAAUAUUCCUUGUGCACCAAAACAGCUAAUAGUGAUCAAUAGAGAAUCGAUUAACGAAUCGAUCCCUAUACUCAUUUUUUUCCGGAGUACUUUCUAUUGAACGCUGUGACGCAACAAACUUCGGUAACUUCACAAAAUCUGACAAAAAAGAGAAAAAAGUUUUUAUACAAAAAAUUUUUUAAAUAUUCCUUGUGCACCAAAACAGCUAAAAGUGAUCAAUAGAGAAUCGAUUAACGAAUCGAUCCCUAUACUCAUUUUUUUCCGGAGUACUUUCUAUUGGACGCUGUGACGCAACAAACUUCGGUAACUUCACAAAAUCUGACAAAAAAGAGAAAAAAGUUUUUAUAUAAAAAAAUUUUUAAAUAUUCCUUGUGCACCAAAACAGCCAAUAGUGAUCGAUAGAGAAUCAGUUAAGCAAUCGAUCCCUAUAUUCAUUUUUUCCCGGAGUACUUUCUAUUGGACGCUGUGACGCAACAAACUUCGGUAACUUGAACUUACUAACUUCACAAAAUCUGAUAAAAAAGAAAUAAAAGUUUUUAUCAAAAAAAAAAAAUUAAUAUUCCGUGUGCACCAACACAGCCAAUAGUGAUCAAUAGAGAAUCAAUUAAGGAAUCGAUCCAUUUUUUCCGGAGUACUUUCUAUUGGACGCUGUGGCGCAACAAACUUUGACUUCACAAAAUCUGACAAAAAAGAGGAAAAAAAUUUUUACAAAAAAAAUUAAAAUAUUCGAUUAAGGAAUCGAUCCCUAUAUCGAUUUUCAAAUCCUAAUAAAUAUGAAGAAUAUUAUUUAGGACUGUCAUUUGUUAGAUUUAAACAUAUGUAAUUUUACAAAAAUAAUUUCGAAAAUAAAUUUUAAUAUAGAUAUUUCAUUUUCAUUUAUUCCUACCUAAGCAAACAUCUGGCAACAUAUUGAAUAACUUAAAAAGCUCUUUUCCCACUAAGUAUCAUUCUAUGUUGAAUGACAGAUAUCAAAAGAACUUGAAGAACUCGCGCCUGCUUUUUAUUCCGUGCAGAAUUCUGGUGAUUUUGGAUGAGCAAUUACUACCUUUGAUUCCUGUUUUUAAAAUGAUGUCUGUAGUAAAAGCAGACGGUGAGAUGAAUUUUAACCAUAAACAUUGACCAAAAGCAGACAGCAAAUAGAUGGCGAUCCAAAGAUUUACUGCAUUUGCAACAAAUGAUGCCUUGUUAUUGGGGAAUUGCUCAAUGUUAUGACGCAACCGAUAAUCUAUGGACGCAACAAACUGAACAACUCCAAAUUAAUGAAAACAUUUUUGUACUAAAAAAAUUUAAAAUCUUUUUGUGCCAAUAAAUUCAAUUAAUA